rnacentral:rRNA from 1 species
CCUACGGGAGGCAGCAGUGGGGAAUAUUGCACAAUGGGGGGAACCCUGAUGCAGCAAUGCCGCGUGAAGGAUGAAGGUUUUCGGAUUGUAAACUUCUUUUGUACGGGACGAAGAAAGUGACGGUACCCAAAGAGGAAGCUCCGGCUAACUACGUGCCAGCAGCCGCGGUAAUACGUAGGGAGCGAGCGUUGUCCGGAAUUACUGGGUGUAAAGGGAGCGUAGGCGGGCGAGAAAGUUGAAUGUUAAAUCUACCGGCUUAACUGGUAGCUGCGUUCAAAACUUCUUGUCUUGAGUGAAGUAGAGGC